GGAGGCGGACAGACGGCCGCCGCGCGCGAGCGCGGAGGAAAGUCCGGACACCAUAGGGCGCGGCACUCCUUAACGGGGAGCGGGAGCGAUCCCAGGGACAGUGCCACAGAAAAUAUACCGCCCCGGAAACGGGGUAAGGGUGAAAUGGCGAGGUAAAAGCUCACCGGGUCCGCGGCGACGCGGGCCGCAUGGAAAACCCUGCCGGGUGCAAGGCCGAAUAGGAAGGCGCGUCCCGCGAAAGCGGGACAGGGGACUGCCCGUCUCCGACCUUCGGGUUGGUUGCUUGACCGCGCCGGCAACGGCGCGGCUAGAGGAAUGGCCGUCACCCUUCGC
rnacentral:RNase_P_RNA from 1 species